GAGUUUGAUCCUGGCUCAGAUUGAACGCUGGCGGCAUGCCUUACACAUGCAAGUCGAACGGCAGCAUGAUCUAGCUUGCUAGAUUGAUGGCGAGUGGCGAACGGGUGAGUAAUACAUCGGAACGUGCCCUGUAGUGGGGGAUAACUAGUCGAAAGAUUAGCUAAUACCGCAUACGACCUGAGGGUGAAAGCGGGGGACCGCAAGGCCUCAUGCUAUAGGAGCGGCCGAUGUCUGAUUAGCUAGUUGGUGGGGUAAAGGCCCACCAAGGCGACGAUCAGUAGCUGGUCUGAGAGGACGAUCAGCCACACUGGGACUGAGACACGGCCCAGACUCCUACGGGAGGCAGCAGUGGGGAAUUUUGGACAAUGGGCGAAAGCCUGAUCCAGCAAUGCCGCGUGUGUGAAGAAGGCCUUYGGGKUGKAAAGCACUUUUGUCCGGAAAGAAAUGGSUCUGGUUAAUACCUGGGGUCGAUGACGUACCGAAGAUUAUGWUCGUCC
rnacentral:rRNA from 1 species